UGGGGAGAAUAAUCAGCAAUGACAACAACAAUCAGUUCAAUCCUGAUAUUUCUUUCUUUACAUGAUAUCCAUUGUCAGACCUUCACUCAGCCUCAGGCUGAGGUAAAAAGACCUGGUGAAUCUUUUCGGCUGGUGUGUACCGCCUCUGGAUUUACAUUCAGCAGCCACUGGGCUGCUGUGGUGAGACAGGGUCCCGGUAAAGGUCUGGAAUGGAUUGCAACUAUCAGCACAUCCAGUUCUUAUAUCUACUAUUCCCAGUCAGUCCAGGGAAGGUUCACAGUGUCCAGAGAUGACUCCAGCAGUCAACUGUACCUACAGAUGAACAGCCUCAAGACUGAAGACACUGCUGUGUAUUACUGUGCUAGAGAGUCACUGUGAAUGAGUUCAGGGUCAAAGCAAUACAAAAACCACUUUCUUUCCUGUUGACUUCACUUAAGAUCCAGAUGUACU